rnacentral:lncRNA from 10 species
AUUCCUAUCCUCACACACUGAACCUCAGAUUGUGUAAAUGAUAGAAAGGAUGCCAGCUUCUUCUUUAGAAGUUCAAGUCAUUUUGGGGACUGGCUUCAAAACAACAAACAAUCCUGUUUUUGGAGCCCAACGCUGUCAUGAUCUCCAACAUUUUGUGUUAACGUUGUGCCUCUGGAAUAAAACAGGAGGGGCAAGCAGGACGUCACAAUAGCAGUGAAGACUCUUCUGAGAAGAAAGGGCUUCACAGAAUGAGUUCUGUGGGUGCCUGCAAGUCUCCUUGCUUGUUGAGCAGCUGCAGGGCACAGGGAAGCGCCAUCUGGGUAUUCACCAAGUUUUGUAAACAAACGGCCUUCCACGCACUGGCAGGACACACUCCGCAGCAGAUCUUGAAAGCUCGCUCCCCUGGAGACUUUCCUCAGUAGGCUUGUUUCUCUAUGAUAAAGUUGUGGAUUUUGUUAUUUUAAAAAAGGAAGAUAACUCCAUUUUAUUUGGGGGAGAACAUAGGUGUUAUUAUAAGAAUCCUUGUGAUUUACCUAACUGGAUAUUAGGGACUGCAAAGCAGAAAAUAAGAUAAUUAUGAUAUGCUGGUGUUGCAUCUCACCUGCGUUUAAUCUGAUCACUAACUUUAGAACCGAAGCCCUUCCCCUACCAGAAACUAUAACUCUACAAAACCAUUGCCAAGGGAUGAGAAUGAUACCAUUCAGCGGAACUACAAACAAGAAAGUCAAACUGGAAAACCAGAAAACAGAUGGCUAAACUCUUUUCUAAACUUUUCCAAGAGCAGUGUUUAUGCAGGUAUGUAUUUCUGAUUAAUCAAAAUAUAGAUUUGAAUCCAGUUAACAUGUUUUGAGCACGGCAUCUGUGCCAAGACCUUUAAACACACACACACACACACACACACACACACGCACACACACACACAACAACAACAACACCACAAACAGACAAGAAGGCAUUAUAAAGUUUUAGAUAUUAAGAUAGGAUGGAUUAAACACCACAGGUAAGGGGACCCCUCACUCUAAAUUCACCUUUAAAGAUUUGGAAAUUAUCUUACCAGUAGAAGAUCAUCAUUCCUUGUAGCACAUCAGCUCCUGCUGAGCAGCGACCCUAACCUUGGAAGAGGACAGCUGUGGCUUGGUUUACCCCGCAGUGGUAGCUCUGUAUUCAGAGCACAGUCAUGUAUUCAGAAGCACUCAAAAGAAAAAGAAGCAGAGGCCACCAGCUAAACCACUCAUGGCCUCCUCAAACAAUGACACUGAAAAGCCAUGUGCCCCUUGGACUUGCCACAUCAUUGGCCUGGCUUGUGUAGCAGCAGGAGGCCAGAGUUAGGAAGACUUCAUUUCUCCUGCCACUUCAUCCCUUCAUGCAAAUAACCUGUGCAGCCUGUUUUCUUCCUGUGUUCUAUUAACUAGGAUAUGAGGUAGAAAUAUGUCACAAU